GGUCUGCAUCGUUAUUUUGACGAAGUUUGAAACCAGUGAUCAGUACAUUGUGCAUGUUGUGAAAGAAUUAAACUAAACAAAGUCACGGAAAACGACGCUUUGUAUGUUAUUUUCUGCUAGGAUAUUAGAUAAGUACUUUUGAUAAUUCUGGGAUUAAAUGUUUAUGUGCGCCACUUUAUUCUGUUAAGGUGUAUGAAUCACAGGGGCUUGUCUGCCGGAUUGAUAAAUGUAAAAUAUUUUUAAAAAUUUGUAUCUACAUUAACCAUGUUAACUACACUCUAAAAGUUGCUUUAAAUUAAUAAAGAUUUUGAUCAGGCAAGAAAAAUAAUGUUGUAAGAAAAGUGCUACACUUAUCAGGGACCUAUAUAUACUAAUCUAUAUACAUGUACAUAAACUCUCAACUUUGAGAGUUUAUUUAUUUUUAUUUAUAUCAUUUUGUAUUUUAAACUGUGUCCAUUUUCAUAAAACACACGUAUAGUGAAUUCAGUAUGCAGAUUAUUGAAGGGAAAACAUCAAGACGGGGCAAGGAAGACAACAAAACAUGAUUACCCAGAUUGAGGAUCCCAGUGUUCUUUGUCUCAAGCUACUCAGCCUACCAUGAGAAAAUUAAAAGAUCUGUCAUGAAGAAGAGGCUGGUUCUCAACUUUCAUAUUAU